UACGGAGGAUGCGGGCGUUAUCCGGAUUUAUUGGGUUUAAAGGGUGCGCAGGCGGCGUGUCAAGUCAGCGGUAAAAUGUCGGGGCUCAACCCCGGCCGGCCGUUGAAACUGGCGUGCUCGAGUUGGAGAGAAGUAUGCGGAAUUCGUGGUGUAGCGGUGAAAUGCGUAGAUAUUAGGAGGAACACCAGUGGCGAAGGCGGCCUACUGGACGGUGACUGACGCUGAGGCUCGAAAGCGUGGGGAGCAAACAGG
rnacentral:rRNA from 1 species